rnacentral:rRNA from 1 species
UGGGGAAUAUUGGGCAAUGGGCGAAAGCCUGACCCAGCGACGCCGCGUGGGCGAUGAAGGCCUUCGGGUUGUAAAGCCCUGUCAUGCGGAAAGAACGACCCUGUGACGCAUACUCACAGGGAGUGGCGGUACCGCAGGAGGAAGCACCGGCUAACUCCGUGCCAGCAGCCGCGGUAAUACGGAGGGUGCAGGCGUCGUUCGGAAGUAUUGGGCGUAAAGGGCGCGUAGGCGGUAAUGUAAGUCAGAGGUGAAAUGCUUCGGCUCAACUGAAGAACUGCAUCUGAAACUGCAGAACUAGAGUACAGAAGAGGGAAACGGAGUUCCCGGUGUAGAGGUGAAAUUCGUAGAUAUCGGGAGGAACACCAGUGGCGAAGGCGGUUUCCUGGUCUGAUACUGACGCUGAGGCGCGAAAGUGUGGGGAGCAAACA